UCCUACGGGGCGCAGCAGUGGGGAAUAUUGGGCAAUGGGCGCAAGCCUGACCCAGCAACGCCGCGUGAAGGAAGAAGGCUUUCGGGUUGUAAACUUCUUUUAUUCGGGACGAAGAAAGUGACGGUACCGAAUGAAUAAGCCACGGCUAACUACGUGCCAGCAGCCGCGGUAAUACGUAGGUGGCAAGCGUUAUCCGGAUUUAUUGGGUUUAAAGGGUGCGCAGGCGGCGUGUCAAGUCAGCGGUAAAAUGUCGGGGCUCAACCCCGGCCGGCCGUUGAAACUGGCGUGCUCGAGUUGGAGAGAAG
rnacentral:rRNA from 1 species